ACAGUCUGGAGAAAGGCUCCUGUGUUGCAGAACCUGCCCAGUGGUGGGCGGGGCUCGGUACCAGGCAGCCCUACCCUGACCCACAGUAAACCCCCAGGAGAGUGUUGCCUGGGUUUUGAAUUUGCAGUAACAGGUGUGAACAUUCUGGCAGCAGUCUGAUGGUCAUGUAUGAUACUGCAAACAAGA